UGGCAGCUCUUCUGCUGGCUCGAAGUGUCCUGAUCUCAUUACAGCUUUUGACUUGUUCCAGCCUUCCGAUUAAAAUGAUUCAAGUGACAUCAUUUUAAACUGUUACAGGGUCAAGAGACCAUAUCAUUUCAAUGAGGCCACAGUUCAUUUGCUCUGUCUCAGAGAAGCCAGAGGAUAAAAUAAAUAUUAAUAGUCAGUUUGAAAGGAGGCUUGUGUGGUUGGUAUAAUAUCUAAGUGAAACAUUUCAUAGAUGAUGCAGCAAAACAGCCACUGGCUUUUUGCCAGUUCAGCGGGAAUGACAAAAGGGAAAACUCCUGGGAUGGCAUGUCUAUAUUGUUUUGGGACACUGAUGAAGUGAGAUGCUAGCAGCGCACUACUAAUUCCAAUAGCAAGAAAUGGAAUGAGAUUCCUAAUAUCACCACUGACUUCUGAUGCUAAGAAUUAAAAGUGGUUUGGAUACCAACUAAGCCAGCAGCUGCUGUAAGUAUUUUAAAGUGCUAUUGCAGAGUCAGAGUUGAGUCCACGGUAUUCACUGCAUGAGACAUAUCAACAUUUCAGCACCUUUACUAUGAUAUAGUAACAGUCUUCACUUAUCCCUCUAGCACAGGUGAAAUAUAUUGCUGUUGAACUAUGCUGGAUAGAAGUAUCUUAAGAAGAGCUGACUGAGGCAAACCUGUUCUCUUUUCAGUUUAUGGUAAGACGAAUAGCAUCCAAAGAGAGAGAGAGAGAGAGAGAUCCUCUGAUGUUAAGGAUU
rnacentral:lncRNA from 1 species